CUCUUACUCCCUCCGUCUGAAAAUACUUGUCAUCAAAAUGGAUAAAAGCAGAUGUAUCUAGAUGUAUUUUAGUUCUGAUACACCCCUUUUGAUCCAUUUUGAUGACAAGUAUUUUCGGACGGAGGGAGUACGUU
rfam:Triticum aestivum genome assembly, contig: Triticum_aestivum_CS42_TGACv1_scaffold_130687_2BL